AGAGUUUGAUCCUGGCUCAGGAUGAACGCUAGCGGGAGGCCUAACACAUGCAAGCCGAGCGGUAGAGUUUCUUCGGAAACUUGAGAGCGGCGCACGGGUGCGUAACACGUGUGCAACCUACCUUUAUCUGGGGGAUAGCCUUUCGAAAGGAAGAUUAAUACCCCAUAAUAUAAUGAUUGGCAUCAAUUAUUAUUGAAAACUCCGGUGGAUAGAGAUGGGCACGCGCAAGAUUAGAUAGUUGGUGAGGUAACGGCUCACCAAGUCAAUGAUCUUUAGGGGUCCUGAGAGGGAGAUCCCCCACACUGGUACUGUGACACGGACCAGACUCCUACGGGAGGCAGCAGUGAGGAAUAUUGGACAAUGGGUGAGAGCCUGAUCCAGCCAUCCCGCGUGAAGGAUGACGGUCCUAUGGAUUGUAAACUUCUUUUGUACAGGGAUAAACCUACCCUCGUGAGGGUAGCUGAAGGUACUGUACGAAUAAGCACCGGCUAACUCCGUGCCAGCAGCCGCGGUAAUACGGAGGGUGCAAGCGUUAUCCGGAUUUAUUGGGUUUAAAGGGUCCGUAGGCGGACUUGUAAGUCAGUGGUGAAAUCUCAUAGCUUAACUAUGAAACUGCCAUUGAUACUGCAGGUCUUGAGUAAAUUUGAAGUGGCUGGAAUAAGUAGUGUAGCGGUGAAAUGCAUAGAUAUUACUUAGAACACCAAUUGCGAAGGCAGGUCACUAAGA
rnacentral:rRNA from 2 species